rnacentral:rRNA from 1 species
UUCCCAGACUCCUACGGGAGGCAGCAGUCGGGAAUAUUGCGCAAUGGAGGAAACUCUGACGCAGUGACGCCGCGUGCAGGAAGAAGGUUUUCGGAUUGUAAACUGCUUUAGACAGGGAAGAAAGAAAUGACGGUACCUGUAGAAUAAGCUCCGGCUAACUACGUGCCAGCAGCCGCGGUAAUACGUAGGGGGCAAGCGUUAUCCGGAUUUACUGGGUGUAAAGGGAGCGUAGACGGCAGUGCAAGUCUGAAGUGAAAGCCCCGGGCUUAACCCGGGAAUUGCUUUGGAAACUGUACGGCUGGAGUGCUGGAGAGGUAAGCGGAAUUCCUAGUGUAGCGGUGAAAUGCGUAGAUAUUAGGAGGAACACCAGUGGCGAAGGCGGCUUACUGGACAGUAACUGACGUUGAGGCUCGAAAGCGUGGGGAGCAAACAGGAUUAGAUACCCGCGUA